rnacentral:snoRNA from 1 species
CCCCUCUCAGCAUCUCACCUGGAGAGUUUCCAGUACUCUACUAGUCUAGACUAAGGGAGGGAGAGUCAAACGGAGGCCUACCCAUUCCAUUCCUAGCUUAGGCAGUGGUUAGCCAGUGGAAAGCAAUCUGCUACAAGU